GGAUAGGGGCGAUGGGGUUGGGAUGGAAGAGGAGGGAGAACCACACAAGGAGGGUGAGGGAGGAAGAUAAGUUGAAACAAGAUUUGUGGGAUUUUUGGAGAGUUUUAUUUGCGGAUUGACAUGAUUAACCCUGAAAUUAGGGUUUGGUUUAGGACUGCAAGAAACAAAGAGAAAGAUAAGGUGAAAGAAGAUUUUUGAGUUUUUUUUGCAGAGUUUUAUUUGCGGAUUGACAUGAUUAACCCUGAAAUUAGGUUUGGGUUAGGACUGCAAGAAACAAAGUAUCUAAAUCAAGUGGAGGGAUAAAAUAUUGAUUAGUUGCUUGAGAAGUAAAACCACCUAGGACACUUCAUUCCUUAUUUACUUAAGAAAUU
rnacentral:lncRNA from 1 species